GAUGAACGCUGGCGGCGUGCCUAACACAUGCAAGUCGAGCGAUUCUCUUCGGAGAAGAGCGGCGGACGGGUGAGUAACGCGUGGGUAACCUGCCCUGUACACACGGAUAACAUACCGAAAGGUAUGCUAAUACGAGAUAAUAUACUUUUAUCGCAUGGUAGAAGUAUCAAAGCUUUUGCGGUACAGGAUGGACCCGCGUCUGAUUAGCUAGUUGGUAAGGUAACGGCUUACCAAGGCGACGAUCAGUAGCCGACCUGAGAGGGUGAUCGGCCACAUUGGAACUGAGACACGGUCCAAACUCCUACGGGAGGCAGCAGUGGGGAAUAUUGCACAAUGGGCGAAAGCCUGAUGCAGCAACGCCGCGUGAGCGAUGAAGGCCUUCGGGUCGUAAAGCUCUGUCCUCAACGGAAGAUAAUGACGGUACUUGAGGAGGAAGCCCGGCUAACUACGUGCCAGCAGCCGCGGUAAACGUGUAGUCGU
rnacentral:rRNA from 1 species